UACAGAGGGUGCGAGCGUUGUCCGGAAUCACUGGGCGUAAAGGGCGCGUAGGCGGCCUGAUAAGUAGGGGGUGAAAUCCUGUGGCUUAACUGCAGGGCUGCCUCCUAGACUGUUAGGCUCGAGCACGGUAGAGGCAGAUGGAAUUCCCGGUGUAGCGGUGGAAUGCGUAGAGAUCGGGAGGAACACCAGUGGCGAAGGCGGCGCGCUGGGCCGGUCCUGACGCUCAGGCGCGAAAGCGUGGGGAGCGAUCCGG
rnacentral:rRNA from 1 species